CAGUCUCGCGAAGAUAUUCCGGGAGUCAACAGGUGCGAUAGGGAGCCUCCGGAGAGAGACCCCUUUUUCUCCUCUUUCUUCGUCACUUUCGUCACGCGUUUGAAGAGCCGGUGGCAGAGACACCGCGAUUCGCGCGACGUUUCUCAAUUCGCGACGAAAACCAGUGACAGCCGCAUAUCAUGCAGUCCUGAAGAAAGUAUCUUCGUGUUUUUCCCCCUGCGGAGAUCUCGUGCACGUUUCUCUGCGCCGCCUCGUAAUCUUUUAUUAUUUAUCGCAGAGAUUGCUAGGAAAUUCAGGAAACAGCGACGAUGAAGAAAUGCCAGAUUAUCUCUCUUCUGUUCUUCGUGGCCUUGACCCUUGGCACAUGCUAUGGCGAAUUACCCAAACCAGGCUAUACCAGGACGAUGUUGAAGGUCUCUCGCAGUCUUCCGGGUGAAACGGAAGAGCUGAAAGUGCGAACGAGCGAAGGCAACGUGGCCACUUUGAUCAUCAAGCGACGAGACAAAUCAUCGUUCAAUGAUUCAAAACCUGCUCGAGAAGAUUCGAAUUUUAUAUUAGAAAAUAAAAGAAAUUUUUCGAUAAAUGCACAGAAUGAAUCAGUGCUCAAUGAUGAGGAAAACGAAGCCAAAAGGAAGGAUGAGGUUCGAAGACUCGAGGAAGCUCAAGUGGAACAGAUCAGGGCGACGAUCUCCAGAUCUUCGGAAUCAAAAAAUAAAAAGCCGGACAUCGAUCGAAUCGAUAAGAAACCGGCAUCUGAGAAAAGUCAACCUAUCAGUGUAAUCGAUUAUGGUAGUUGGACACCGUUGGAUGCGGAGGGAAGAGCCUUGAAACUAGAGACGCCGGGAGAAGAGGAGGAGUAUCGAAAUUGGAAACCGUUGCCGGUAAACUUGGAGUCCACCGUCGAGGAGAGAACGAACUACGACAGGCUGGGCGAGGCUGGACUCGGCAGUAUCCUGUUUGCCAGGAACUUCCAGGACCGAGCUCAGAGAAAUCUCGAGCUUAACGAUCAAGGUGUUGCGAACGAUGGGUUUCAUUACAUGUAUAUACCUCAUAUAACGUCUACGAGGACAAAUAUUGGUGCCAACCUGUUGAAGAAUCGAGAUGGUAAAGCUGUACCUCCGGAGGUGACUGUUCGUUCGGAGAUCAACGUGAAGACCGUGCCGAAGAGAUCGCCUAUGUCGCUGGACAUCGACGGCACGCCAGUAAUUCAUGGUACGAGAGUGCCCGACGAGCCUAUCGACAAGUUGCAGACCUGGCGAAACGCUCGAGUUAUCAACAACAAGCUGAUAACACCUGAAGGCAGUCCGACGGUUACCGCGGAUCCUCCCGUUGAGCUUUUCGGUGAUAACGCGGAGAGGCAGAAAUUCGAGAAGUUCUUUAAGGAUAUUAAUCGAAGGUACGGUCGUAAUUACGACGAGGAAGCCCGCAACGUGUACUUCGAGUGGGAUCCGAGAAAUUACAAAAACGAAGCCUUGAAGGCUGAGGUGUACGAGCCACGUAACGACCAUUACCGCGCGAGUGUCCACAAGAGGAUGCUGCAUCCGGACGGCGUCGCGAGCUACCCGAUCUCUCAACGUUACACUCCCGAAAGUCAGACCAUCGCGCCGGUAGCGCUGAAGGCCGGCGCCCGCGCGCCGGUUCUCCAGUACGCCCAUCCGGAGCUGGGCGUGCAACCGGCUAAGAUCCUGAAGAACGAGAAACGCCGACCGGACAAUUUCCCGGAGAAUCAACACUCGUUCACCGAGCAACGUCACAAGAAGAAGUACGUGCUGAACAAUAAGAACAUCGUGGACAGCUACACCACGAAGAACUACUAUCCGAAUCAGCACUUCUACGGCUUGAAACGACCGUACGAGCCGCCUUUCUGGGUGAAAAUCUCAGAAAAUCUGAAGAACCAGUUCUCCACCGGAGUCGAGAGGGUCUCGCAGUUUACCAGGCCGGUGAUCGAUCCUUUGGUGGAGGCUACUCACAAGAUCUCGCAGAAUCUCGGUCUGUCUAAGGGCAAGGAGGCUCAGGACAAGAUCGACACGAUGGCGUCAGGUACCAGUAUCCUAAUACCGGCUCUAGGUCUCGUCGCAUCUGGCGCCGCCCUCGGCAUAGGCGCCGUGGCGGUCGGACGGUAUCUCGAUGUCGACGUUUUGAAACGAUCAAACGUGGACGACGCCGAUUUAGAGCACAAGCGGGCUUUGGAAACUGGAGCGUACUUAGGAACGCUCGAGGACGAGAAUGUAAGAUCGAAUGAAGCGACGCCGCAGACCCUGUACAUUCUGCAAAACGUCCCCCAGGACGACAAAGCGGGAAACGAGGGCACGAACUCGGCAGAAAGCGACGGGGUCUUCUUGGUCCUGGAGGAGGACAAGCGUAACGCCGAGAGGAUUGAAAAUCGGGAGAGUAAACAAGUGGUGGACGAAGCUGAUUACGUGGAGACUCAUAGACGUAAAAAAAGAAGUCCUGACUAUCUAGAUAUCUUUAAGACGGACGCCGACAUGAAAAAUCUGGUCCGCAGCAAGCGUUUCCAGAGGAAAGGGGCCGAUUCCAUCAGCGAGAUCGUGGAAAUUGAUCUGCCUGCUGACUCGGAUCGCGUCGACAUCACCGAAUUUCUAAUUCCAAAGAAGAAUAAGGAGAAACACCUGAAUAAAAAUGCUAUUCUAAUUGUCGAAGACAGCUUGAAGAUUCCAUCAGAAAAUCUUCAAGUAGAUAUGUUGAAUCAGAACGGAUUGACAAACGCCGCGGCUUCGGUAAAUGAAGAUAAUGGACGAAGAAGAAAUCAGAGAGCCGACGGUACUUCUUUCGUGUUGGACAGAUCGCAAGUUCUCGGGAGUGAUCUCGAGAAGGAAACAACAAACAGGAGACGAAAGCGAAAUGUCGAAAGUGACCAGGAGCUUCUGGACACGUUGCAGAAUCUGGAGAAUGCGGAAGUCGCGGAAGUUGCUCACAUACCGGGCGAUUGGACAAAUACGCCCUGCGCUAAGAGGAUAUUUUGCGACACGAUGAUCGAAAGAGGUUCCGAUGCCUCGGUGCUAAUGGAGAAAAAGAUGGCAGCAUUACUGAGACUAAUCCAACCUGGAGCGGCCAUACAGGUGUCCAGUCACUUCGAGGAGGUCAUGGACGCUGUCAGAAGACACGAUUGUUCCAGCUUCCUGUGCCCACAGGCAAGACCCGGCAACGUCUUCCUUUAGACACUUUCCUUGUAGUUCUCAAAUUGCAUUCAUCGACUCAUCUCCUACAAGUUGGCACUUUCAACUCUAAUUCAGUUCUGUAAAAAAAGAUAUUCUACUCUUAGCAUUUUGUUGCAUUUGCAUCCCGGAAAGGAUCCUAAUUAGUUAAAUCCCCCUUCUUUUCUCGGACACAAUGCACAAACUGCUCUCGUCUCGACGUUUCUAUUAUGGGACAAUUUAUUUCGAUUAUCAACGGAAAAUAUUCUUGCGUCAAAAAUGCCAACAGGACAUCUUAUAAAAUUAUUAACAAUGCGCGAAUUCCUUAACUGCGUCAAAUAACGAAACAACAAACAAAUCAGCACGAAACAUUUUUUUUACAUAAAACUAUAAUUUACUCAAACAUGUUGAUGCAUACAAAUGCCAACAAUAAAUAGAAUUAAUGCGUUCUUCCAAGGCUCACUGGAUAUAAUAAAUUCGCAUGGUAUAUAAAAUAUUUUUCGAUUAAUAGAAAUUUGUGACUCGCGUGAUUGUGAUCAGUUACACUUAAAAUCUUCAACGAGAUCUUCAGGAAAACACUUCACUAAUUUGCGUUUGCGAUGAUUCUGCAAUUAAACAUGUUUUCGUUAAAUACGUUGAGUCAGCACCGAGCCAAAACUGUACAUACUUGCCACCGAGGCGAUAUUAUUUAAUAUGAACUCAUAUUUUUAAUUUAGAUAAUUAAGUAUAGAUUUUAAGAGAGAAGAUGUAAGCUUGGCGGUAAGUGAGUUGCAUUUUAAUGCAAUUUCCGAAUGUUUCCAAUUUUACCGUAUUGCGGUAUUUCCUAAUCCCUGUUGAAUAUCUUCGCCUGUCGCUUCAUCUCGUCUUAUUUCUGAUCCCAGCAUUCCGUCCGAAUAUAAAUUGUCAUGCGUAAAGUAUAAUUUAUUUCGACGCGUUGAGCGGUCAGAAACGAUCGAAACGUUAAUAAAUAUAUUACUAAUUUUAGAAAGAGAAACGUCAUGCAUCGCCAGCCGUUUACGCGAAUAUAUUUAUUUCCCUCCUUACAAUGAAUAAAUUAUAUUUUUUACGACAUACGUGCAAUGUUCGAGUCUAUUCAUUCUUACUUCAGUGACAUCUCUUUGCAGAUUUUGAACCGCUGGAAAUUAAGCACUGGUCGAUGUGAAUGAACGAAUAUUCCUCGUUGGGCAAGCAAUUUGCUUAUAGUCGAAAAGCAAGCGCUACAUUCACGAAGUACUCACAGAUGGUAGCGGUUCAAUCCUUCGUGUACUGAGCAAGCGCAAAAUCA